UACGAAGGGGGCUAGCGUUGCUCGGAAUUACUGGGCGUAAAGCGCGCGCAGGUGGUCUUUCAAGUCAGUGGUGAAAGCCCGGAGCUCAACUCCGGAAAUGCCAUUGAAACUGUAAGACUUGAGGAUGAGAGAGGUGAGUGGAAUUCCCGGUGUAGAGGUGAAAUUCGUAGAUAUUGGGAAGAACACCGGUGGCGAAGGCGGCUCACUGGCUCAUAUCUGACGCUCAGGCGCGACAGCGUGGGGAUCAAACAGG
rnacentral:rRNA from 1 species